CACGUCGUGAAGCGCCCCUCGCCCCGCCUGAAUCCAGCUCCUGCCUUCCACCCACCCCCGGUGCGCCUCCCAUGUCGUCGCCGUCGCUGCCCUCGGUCCGCCUCCCGCUGCGCCCGUCCCCGGCCGCGGCGACAACGCCGCUCUCCCGCCGGGGCGCGCCCGUCCGCUCCCUCGCGGCAUCCCCCGCCCCCGCCGUCGCCCUCAAGCCCCUCGUCUCCAAGGCGCCCGCGUCCGGCUCCUACCGCUCCGCGCUCCUCCUCCACCGCCGCCGCUAUGCGCUGCCCGAGACCGCCGUCUCCGAACCAACCCCCAAGGUCACCAAGGAGUACCAGGACUGGGACUCCCUGACGGGCAAGUUCGCGGGCAGCGCCAACGUGCCCUUCCUCCUCCUCCAGCUCCCGCAGAUCAUCCUCAACUACCGCAACCUCGUCGACGGCAACAAGACCGCCCUCUUCGCCGUCCCAUGGCUCGGGAUGCUCACCGGGCUGCUCGGCAACCUGGCGCUCGUGUCCUACUUCGCCAAGAAGAGGGAGACGGAGGCUGUCAUCGUGCAGACGCUGGGCGUUAUCUCCACCUACGUGGUCAUCGUCCAGCUUGCCAUGGCGGAGUCCAUGCCCUUCCCGCAGUUUGUGGCCACUUCGGCUGUUGUCGGCGCCGGGCUUGUCCUCAACUUGCUCAAUUACAUUGGGUGGCUCCCAGAGACCCUCUGGCUGCUAUGGGAGGAUUUCACGACAAUCGGCGGCCUUACCGUGCUCCCUCAGGUCAUGUGGUCAACGUUUGUUCCCGUCAUCCCCAGUAGCAUACUGCCUGGCAUAAUCUGUGGCUCUUUGGCUGUUGCUGCUGUUGCCAUGGCAAGGAUGGGCAAGCUUUCCGAAGGAGGAACUAAAUUUGUGGGGUCGUUGUCUGGUUGGACUGCCACACUUUUGUUCAUGUGGAUGCCAGUUGCACAGAUGUGGACAAACUAUCUCAACCCAAGUAACAUCGAAGGACUGUCAGCGUUCUCAAUGUUGCUUUCAAUGAUUGGAAAUGCACUUAUGAUUCCUCGUUCUGUAUUUAUCAGAGAUCUGAUGUGGUUCACCGGUUCUAUUUGGGCAUGUGCCCUACAAGGUUGGGGCAACCUGGCCUGCAUGUACUGCUGCAACAGCAUCAGCAGAGAAUUUUUCUUCGCGACGACAUUUGGAUUGCUUCUGUGGCUAGGUUUCACCUUCGGGAGAGAUACCGAUGCCUACGGCCACAGCUCACCCAUGGAUUCUCUGAAGGAGCUGAUCUUCGGGAAGUGAUGACCAUCACCAGCAAGCAGUUCAAAGCAGCCGGCUGUUCCGGGGUGGGGUAGUAGGAACCAGGAAAGCACUCCUACAAUAAUUUUCUGGUGACCGGCAAGCAAGAACAAACCGGGCCGUGGUAAAAAUCUUGGUAGGCAAUAGCAUAGAGGUGAAAAAUUUAAGAAGGGCACGCCGUCGCCGACAGUCCUGCGGCCGUGGUGAAACGCCGAGACGACGAGCCCCACCGCAGCAGCUUGCAGAAAGCGCCGUGGGAGUUCACGUGGUAGCAGAAGCUACCGUGUGGCGUGACCACCACCAUCACCGGCACCGGCAGAAAGGGCACAGUGGAGUAGUAGUAGCAGCAGAUCUAUUCUAUUCGUUGUAAGAAAAAUAAAAGUUUGCAUUUCUUCUCACCUUGAAUAAAGUUUCCAAGCAGCUCAUGCAGCAAAUAUAUAUUGGAUCAUUUUUUUUCUUUAUUACUCCAUAUGGCAAACUCCUGGUGGUGAGCCAGCGUCUCAAAAUCAAAUGUGUUAAAUAUGAUCAUUUUUGUUUGUUUAGGCAGAAGAAUGAAUAAUCUGCACAGUAAAAGGGAUGGGAGGCCAGUGGGUCAGUGAGUGGGUUGGGCGGCAGCGGGCCCGGGCCAGGUCCAGUCCAGUCAAGGCCAGCCUAAUAAAAAAAGUUCAGCCCAGUAAAACGAUGAUAAAACUGCGGUGCAGGUGGACGGACGACAGCUAGUGUGAACGGAAGGGGCCCCGCCCCGUCGUCUCCGCGCAGAGAGAGGCGUGUGAAUGGGCAGAAAAGUAAGAAACGGCAGGCAGCAGCUGCAACUGCAGCGGCAUCCACCGGCGAGAGCGAGAAGAAAACGAAAAGCGGGGCGAGGCCACGGGCCAGACGCCAGAAGAAGGUCGCGUGGCAGAGCAAGCCACCCAAAAUCAAUCCAGGCCAGAAAGCGAGCGCCGACCGCCGCGUCACGGGCGUGCCGUCGUCGUUGCUAGGCGCGCGGCGGGAUGAUGGAGGCGGGCGGAGGCGGAGGGGGAGGAGGGUUCAGGGACGAGCGGGUGCCGCAGUGGGGCGUGCAGGAGACGCGGGAGCUCAUCGCGGCGCGCGGGGAGCUGGAGCGGGAGGCCGCCGCCGCGGGCCGCAGCGCCAAGACGCUCUGGGAGGCGGUGGCCGACGCGCUCCGGGCGCGCGGGUACCGCCGCACCGCCGACCAGUGCAAGUGCAAGUGGAAGAACCUCGUCAACAGAUACAAGGGGAAAGAAACAUCUGACCCAGAAAACGGUAGACAAUGUCCCUUCUUUGAAGAAUUACAUGCAGUCUUCACUGAACGUGCUAGAAAUAUGCAACGUCAACUCCUUCAGUCUGAAUCGGGAACUUCAGUUAAAAAGAAAUUAAAGCGACCUAGCGGUGACCGGUCAUCUGGGGAGUCUGAUGACAACGAAUAUGGCGUUGAAGUCAGCGAUGAUGAGAAACCCGUGAUAAGCAAAAAGCGGAAGGCUGGUGAUAAGGGGCAACCAUCGCAACGAAUGGCGGAAAACUCAAGGACCGGCAGUUCAAGCAUCCAUGAUCUGUUACAGGAAUUCCUAGUGCAGCAACAGCAUGUAGAUAUGCUGUGGCAUGAGACGAUGGAGCGGCGCGCCCAGGAGCGGCUCAUUUUCGAACAAGAAUGGAGGCAGUCGAUGCAGAAGCUGGAGCAGGAGAGGCUGAUGCUGGAGCAGUCAUGGAUAGAGCGAGAGGAACAGCGAAGGAUGAGGGAAGAAGCAAGAGCUCAGAAGAGGGAUUCGCUCAUGACCACCCUGUUGAACAAACUCUUACAAGAAGAUCUAUAGAAGGCGAAGCUUCUUCAUCGACGGGUAGAUAAUGUACUAGACAUCAUUUUUCUUACCAUGUUUCAUCGAUUCUUUUUAGCUCUUGCAACAUGCCGUUUGUCCAGAAGAUGUUUGAUGUAGCUUAUUAACUUUAUAGGGCUCAUUUCUAAUUUUUUACCGGGGUUAUAUUUAUAUACUAAUUUAUUAGAGAUGUAAGUAUCAGAUGCCAGAUAGGUGAUCUACUGAUCUAUGUGAUUUUCAGAGACAUUAGGCUUUCAGGCAUCAGUCGUCUUGCAUAAAUAUCAUGUGCCC
rnacentral:rRNA from 1 species